rnacentral:lncRNA from 1 species
GACUACAAGUUUCUCAAGUCGCAGUUCCCAACGAUUGAUCCUUGAGGGCAAGGAUCGUCUUCUAGGGGGGAGGGGUUGUAAUGGUGGUAAGAGAAAGGCGAACCAGGGAAAAGGAAGAGUGAGGAGAUGGAGGUAAAGAGGGUGAAUACGCAAACCGAGGUAGUUAGAUAUUAUUGAGUCAAGCAGGUGAAGGUUAGGUGAUGGAGAAGCGGGCUACCGGCUACCGGGUUCAGGUUGCUAAACCGGACCCUUCUCAGGGAUCCAGCAGAGUCAGCCAACAGAACCUGGGUGGUAAUAGUUGAGGAGUCCGGCCCACAAGCAGGUCUCGUAGCAGGAACCGCGGCCCAGGGAGACCACUUAUAAAUAAUUCUCUUUUUACACUCUUAUCCUUCACUAUUGCAAUUUUCAUAUUUUUGUCCUGAUGUAGUAGGGAUAUAAAUAGAAACAAUUACCUGUAAGUGAACAGUAAGAUUGAUAAUAUAAUUCUAUUUCCCAUCUACUCCUUCUUCCACUUCCUCCUCUCUACUACCUUCUUCUUCCUCCUCCCUGCCUAUCCUUCUCCUUCUUUAUCCCUCUAUUCCUCUGUUCUCAAUUCUCCUACUCCUUACUAUCUCGCGUCCCUGAGUGAUCCCCUCUAAUCCUCUUCAUCGGACCAUCAUAUCCAAUCGAAAUUGGAUCAGGCUUCACGCAAGGGUCUCAUCAUUCCUGAGGUAGCUUUAUCACAGUGAAGGGGUCACCGGAUUGCUACUCCAGGUCAGAAGAGGGGUGUCACAUACCAGAUUUUGGUAUAAAAAUAAAAAUAAAUAAAAAUAGUGUGAGAUGCUAUUUUUAUUAGAAUUAGAGAAGUAAAACAUAAGUCAGGAAUGACUUGUGCUGAAAUCGGAUUGGAAACAGAAGAUUUAGAAUUUUCUGUUGGAAACGGGACAGAUAAGUUAGCGAAAAAUGCACAGUCUCAGAAAAUUAUGAAAAUAGGAGGAUAAGUCAGAAAUAUUUUUAUGAGGCUAGAUUUAAAGUUUCAUAUUUUUCUGACAUCCGGAAGGUGAAAAAUAAAAUCCGACAAGUUAUCUGCUAAAAAUUACAAUUCAGCACAGUUUUCGGUGACCAAACGGGGUUGAAACUGAAAACUUAAGAUAUAUUC